GACGAACCGUGCGAACGUUAUUCGGAAUCACUGGGCUUAAAGCGCGUGUAGGCGGGGCGGCACGUCGGUCGCUGAAAGCCCCCGGCUCAACCGGGGAACGGGCGCCGAUACGACCGCCCUGGAGGGACGUAGGGGGACCUGGAACUUCCGGUGGAGCGGUGAAAUGCGUUGAGAUCGGAAGGAACGCCCGUGGCGAAAGCGAGGUCCUGGACGUCUGCUGACGCUGAGACGCGAAAGCCAGGGGAGCGAACGGG
rnacentral:rRNA from 1 species